rnacentral:rRNA from 1 species
CCCUUAGAUGUUCUGGGCCGCACGCGCGCUACACUGACGAAUGCAACGAGCUUAUAACCUUGGCCGAAAGGUCUGGGUAAUCUCCAAAUUUCGUCGUGAUGGGGAUAGAUUAUUGCAAUUAUUAAUCUUCAACGAGGAAUGCCUAGUAAGCGCAAGUCAUCAGCCUGCGUUGAUUACGUCCCUGCCCUUUGUACACACCGCCCGUCGCUCCUACCGAUUGAAUGGUCCGGUGAAGCGUUCGGACCGUGGCCUUUGGACGGUUCGCCGUCUGUUGGCUGCGGGAAGUUCGUUAAACCUUAUCAUUUAGAGGAAGGUGAAGUCGUAACA